AGUGAACGCUGGCGGUAGGCCUAACACAUGCAAGUCGAACGGCAGCACAGUAAGAGCUUGCUCUUACGGGUGGCGAGUGGCGGACGGGUGAGGAAUACAUCGGAAUCUACUUUUUCGUGGGGGAUAACGUAGGGAAACUUACGCUAAUACCGCAUACGACCUACGGAUGAAAGCAGGGGAUCUUCGGACCUUGCGCGAUUGAAUGAGCCGAUGUCGGAUUAGCUAGUUGGCGGGGUAAAGGCCCACCAAGGCGACGAUCCGUAGCUGGUCUGAGAGGAUGAUCAGCCACACUGGAACUGAGACGCGGUCCAGACUCCUACGGGAGGCAGCAGUGGGGAAUAUUGGACAAUGGGCGCAAGCCUUAUCCAGCCAUACCGCGUGGGUGAAGAAGGCCUUCGGGUUGUAAAGCCCUUUUGUUGGGAAAGAAAAGCAGCAGGUUAAUACCCCGCUGUUCUGACGGUACCCAAAGAAUAAGCACCGGCUAACUUCGUG
rnacentral:rRNA from 1 species